CACAGGUGCAUUGUGGUCUGAGCUGAGCCCUCUCAGACCUGCCCGUUUCUAACGAAGUCAGCAUUGGCAUUGUGGUCGCUGAGCGUCAUUGCUGGGUCGCCAGGUCCGCCCGGGGCCGAGGAGCCUCCCCGCUGUGGGGCUUCCAGCCCUGAGACCCGCAGUCCCAGCCCCCGGCACAGUCGGUCGCCGGCAGCAGCUUCUCACUCAGUGCCCUUUUACUUUAAUAUUUAUAACGCCGUUUCCGUGCCUCGUGAGUGAUCCUAAGCCUGCACCUGUGACUCACAUGUUCUCUCACUUCCUCUCUCCUGCUCUCACAAGAGCAGGCCAUGGGCACAUAUGACUCAGUCUCAUGCUCACUGCAGCUUCGCGCUCAGCAGCGCUGACUCGGCUCCCGCCUGCAUGGCUGCGGGGCUGUGAUGGCGGGUCAGGUGGCUUCGCGGGAGGAGGCCGCUCCUGAGCAGCCAGAGGAGAACAGGGGUGACGGGGGUGCCUGUCCACACACCCUUGGGCACUCAGAGAAGGAGCCCGCGGUGAACGCAUGUCUGACCUCUGCCUUCGGGCGGGGAUGCCGGGCACGGCUCACACAACCCAUCACACUCCAGAGCGCGGUGCGCCUUUCCUGCCCUCCUACUCCGUCCCGGCCCUGCCCCACCCCCGGGCUCGGCUCCGUCUCUAAUGACUAAUUGUACUGAACGCCAUGGCUGCUCUUAGACGCGCUGGGAUCUGAACGAAGCCAUCAGACUCUCCACUGAUCACUCCAUUAGCUCCUCAACCUACUGCAAAACUUUAGCUCAAAUAGGCCAAGGAAAUAGAGUGCGCGCGCACAUAUGUGUGCGUGUGUAUGCGUGUGUGUGAGUGUGUGUAUGCGCACGUGUGUGUGUGCACGUGUGUGUGUGUGUGAGAGAGCAGAAGAGGAAGAGACCCCAAAAGCUUUAAAAUGGAGUGAAAGUUGGAGUCGGCAUCUAAACGAGGUUUGCUUCCCGGGCGAUGCUGUUUGAAAGCUCAAUAGCUGGUGUCAAAAAUAGAUUUCUCUCCCUUUCCAAGUGUGGCAAACAGAGCCACGCGCCUCGCCCAGACUCCUGCCUCUCACCCCAGAGGGUUUCUUGUGGAGGAACCAACAAUCCCUUGGACGGGAACCCUGGACGGGCCGGCCAUCAUUUUGCGAUUUGGGCGGUUGCCGGUGCCUGGCAGCCCCUGGUUGUUUGUCUAGAGUGAUAGUCAGCGGUUGGACGGAAUGCAAGAAAGCUGAUCCCGUCGCUGGCUCAGGUUCUUCGUGGACAAGAGACAAGGUUUCCUUCACUUUCGCCCAGAUGCUGGCUGCCCGGAGCGGAGCGCAGGGGAGAGCUGAGCGGAGCCUCAGCUCCAGCAGCGUUUCCUUGGCUCCCGGCUGCUCCUUCAUGGAAAAUUCCAUCCGUGGACGCUGGGCUGGGAUGUCACCGCCGCUGAAACCCUAGCCGAGCCCCUGCCUGAGCUGCGAUGGGAGCGAGCCAGGGAGAAGGGGAAGCGCAUCCCACAUAAAGGGAGGAUUGAGCGAGGGCAGUGACCCGAGAGCAGCCGGUCACCAGCCCCAGGGGGUCGGAAGGCUCCCCGAGUUUCCCCGUCUGUAGGAGCAGAAGGGAUGCCCGUUUAAAAUGUUAAAAAUGAUCAAACGUGUUUAACCUUCACCUCGGUAACUGAACUGGGUGAGGUACUGGAGGGCUUAUCAUCCCAGCGUCUGUGCUUCUGCAUCUUGUGGGAAAUUGUAAGGACACAAAGGUUUUUAGAACGUAUUUCCUUCUGUCUCAGAACCAUUCCCCACCCCCCGAGGGUAUCAGCACGCAUGCGCGGUGGGGGGGGGGCUGCUCUGCGGAGCAGGGGCUGCUCCACUGGGCAUGCGCGUGGGUGGGCCUCCGUGACCGCAACCGAGCUGAAGCCCCACUGCGUGUCAGAUCGUGCAGCUCCGCGGCCUUUAUUCUCAGCCUCGUGUCCUCAGCCGCAUCCCGGAUGGAUCAUCCGUUCAGACGCUGGGAUUCACGUGCACAAUGCAGUCAAUUGCCCGGUGACAUCUUCACUUCAUCUUAUAAAAAUAAAUAUAUAAUAUAAAUAUGAGGCUUGAAAAAUAU